GUCGCCAGAAGAUCAAUUUCUAAAUCGUACAUGGUUCUUGCCUUUUACCAGAACCAUCCGGGAAUUGUCUUUUUUCAAUGGUGCUUAACCAAUUUUUGGGACCUUUCUUUUUUCAC
rnacentral:snRNA from 1 species